GGGCAAGUAGUGUAGUUGGUUAUCGCGCCCGCUUCGCAUUUCCGUUGUGGUUCUGAACCCAUGACCUGUGUGCGGGAGGUGCUGGGUUCAAUUCCCAGCUUGUCCA